rnacentral:rRNA from 1 species
CCUACGGGGGGCAGCAGUGGGGAAUUUUGCGCAAUGCUCGUAAGAGUGACGCAGCGACGCCGCGUGAAUGACGAAGGCCUUCGGGUCGUAAAGUUCUUUCGACAGGGACGAAAAUGCCUAUAAGUAACUGUGUAUGUAUUGACGGUACCUGUAUAAGCAGCCCCGGCUAACUCCGUGCCAGCAGCCGCGGUAAUACGGAGGGGGCGAGCGUUGUUCGGAGGGACUGGGCGUAAAGAGCACGUAGGCGGUGUUGUAAGUCAUUAGUCAAAGACUAGAGCUAAACGUUAGUAAGGCUAGUGAUACUAUAAUACUAGAGUAUAAGAGAGGAUUGCAGAAUUCCUGGUGUAGCGGUGAAAUGCGUAGAUAUCAGGAGGAAUACCGUUAGCGAAGGCGGCAAUCUGGCUGGAAACUGACGCUGAGGUGCGAAAGCGUGGGUAGCAAACAGGAUUAGAUACCCUGGUAGUC